rnacentral:rRNA from 1 species
UACGUAGGGUGCGAGCGUUUAAUCGGAAUUACUGGGCGUAAAGCGUGCGCAGGCGGUUCGUUGUGUCCGAUGUGAAAUCCCCGGGCUCAACCUGGGAAUUGCGAUGGAGACUGCAAGGCUAGAAUCUGGCAGAGGGGGGUAGAAUUCCACGUGUAGCAGUGAAAUGCGUAGAGAUGUGGAGGAACACCGAUGGCGAAGGCAGCCCCCUGGGUCAAGAUUGACGCUCAUGCAC